CUUUCAAAGCUGAUGUUGUUACUGGAGUCCACAGAUACUAUUUUAGCAGCGAUAGAUUCGUUAAGGUUCAUCCCAAACCACAAGUGGUUCAUAAUGGACUGAAAGAGAAAGAGAACAAGUGGAUGUUCAUGUUAUUGACAGGUGAAACAGGAUAUUCAACGAGAAGAGGCAAAGCAAAUGAUUAUUAUUGUGAAAAAUUACAAAACAAUUUAGACAGUAAGACCAUGGACAUCCAAUAAAAAAGAGAAAAUAGACAUUAAA